rnacentral:rRNA from 1 species
UACGUAGGGUGCGAGCGUUUGUCCGGAAUUAUUGGGCGUAAAGAGCUCGUAGGCGGUUUGUCGCGUCUGCUGUGAAAACCUAAGGUUCAACCUUGGGCUUGCAGUGGGUACGGGGCAGACUAGAGUGCGGUAGGGGUGACUGGAAUUCCUGGUGUAGCGGUGGAAUGCGCAGAUAUCAGGAGGAACACCGAUGGCGAAGGCAGGUCACUGGGCCGCAACUGACGCUGAGGAGCGAAAGCAUGGGGAGCGAACAGG